AUAGCCACGGGGUUCCACCUCUUCCCAUUCCGAACAGAGAAGUUAAGCCCGUGCACGCCGAUGAUACUGCAUUGACCUGUGGGAAAGUAGGUAGCCGCCAUUU
rnacentral:rRNA from 1 species